rnacentral:rRNA from 1 species
AUUGAACGCUGGCGGCAUGCCUUACACAUGCAAGUCGAACGGCAGCACGGGAGCAAUCCUGGUGGCGAGUGGCGAACGGGUGAGUAAUAUAUCGGAACGUGCCCAGUCGUGGGGAUAACGUAGCGAAAGCUACGCUAAUACCGCAUACGAUCUAUGGAUGAAAGCGGGGGAUCGCAAGACCUCGCGCGAUUGGAGCGGCCGAUAUCAGAUUAGGUAGUUGGUGAGGUAAAGGCUCACCAAGCCGACGAUCUGUAGCUGGUCUGAGAGGACGACCAGCCACACUGGGACUGAGACACGGCCCAGACUCCUACGGGAGGCAGCAGUGGGGAAUUUUGGACAAUGGGCGCAAGCCUGAUCCAGCAAUGCCGCGUGCAGGAUGAAGGCCUUCGGUGUAACUGCUUUGUACGGAACGAAACGGUGAGCUCUAAUACAGUUUGCUAAUGACGGUACCGUAAGAAUAAG